rnacentral:rRNA from 1 species
UAACACGUAGGUAAUGUGCCUUUGGGUGGGGAAUAACUUAGGGAAACUUAAGCUAAUACCGCAUAAUGCAGCGGCUCCUAAUGGAGACAGUUGUUAAAGCGAGCAAUCGCGCCUAAAGAGCAGUCUGCGGCAGAUUAGGUAGUUGGUAAGGUAAUGGCUUACCAAGCCUGCGAUCUGUAACCGACCUGAGAGGGUGGUCGGUCACACUGACACUGAAUAACGGGUCAG